rnacentral:lncRNA from 1 species
GAGCAAGAAGGGUUUAAAGAUCCUCUCUUCCUAUUCGAUGGGGUGCUCUUAUGGCAUGUAGGGGUGCCAUAUGAUUAGAUCCCAUGAAGAAGAAUGCGAAAGAAAGAACUUACUUUUCUGCAAAAUUUUAGAUCUUGAAAUCUUAGAUUUGUUGUAUAUGAUACAAAGUUGUAUGAAAUGUAAGACAUCUAAUCUAUGUGAUUAAAAUUAUUUUAAUCAUGAAAAAAUAAAAUCUUGAAUCAUAAAAAAUUUUAGAUAUAAUCUAAAAAUAUUAUGAUUGAUUUUAUUUUAAUAUUAUAUAAAAAUUUUCAGAUCUGAACUUUUUGAAUCAUGCUCACACAAUUACUGAGCUAAUCCAGUUUUAAACUAAGUUGACU